GAAGGUCACACCCGUUCCCAUCCCGAACACGGAAGUUAAGCUUCUCAGCGCCGAUGGUAGUUGGGGGUUUCCCCCUGUGAGAGUAGGACGUUGCCGGGC
rnacentral:rRNA from 1 species